rnacentral:rRNA from 1 species
UACGUAGGGGGCAAGCGUUGUCCGGAAUCAUUGGGCGUAAAGAGCGUGUAGGCGGCCCGAUAAGUCCGCCGUGAAAGUCCAGGGCUCAACCCUGGAAUGCCGGUGGAAACUGUCGGGCUGGAGUCCGGAAGAGGCGAGUGGAAUUCCUGGUGUAGCGGUGAAAUGCGUAGAUAUCGGGAGGAACACCAGUGGCGAAAGCGGCCUUCUGGCUCGUAACUGACGCUGUAGCGCGAAAGCGUGGGGAGCGAACGGG